rnacentral:rRNA from 1 species
AACGAACGCUGGCGGCAUGCCUAACACAUGCAAGUCGAACGAAGGCUUCGGCCUUAGUGGCGCACGGGUGAGUAACACGUGGGAACCUGCCUUCUGGUUCGGGAUAACGUUUGGAAACGAACGCUAAAACCGGAUAAGCCCUUCGGGGGAAAGUUUACGCCAGGAGAGGGGCCCGCGUCCGAUUAGGUAGUUGGGGAGGUAACGGCUCACCAAGCCGACAAUCGGUAGCUGGUCUGAGAGGAUGAUCAGCCACACUGGGACUGAGACACGGCCCAGACUCCUACGGGAGGCAGCAGUGGGGAAUAUUGGACAAUGGGCGCAAGCCUGAUCCAGCAAUGCCGCGUGAGUGAUGAAGGCCUUAGGGUUGUAAAGCCCUUUCGCACGUGACGAUGAUGACGGUAACGUGAGAAGAAGCCCCGGCUAACUUCGAGCCAGCCGCCGCCGUAA